GGUGAACGCUAGCGGUAGGCCUAACACAUGCAAGCCGAGCGGUAUUUGUUCUUCGGAACAGAGAGAGCGGCGCACGGUUGCGGAACACGGGUGCAACCUGCCUUUAUCUGGUGGAUAGCCUGUCGAAAGGAAGAUUAAUACCCCAUAAUAUAUUGAGGGGCAUCGUUUGAUAUUGAAAACUCCGGUGAAUAGAGGUGGUCACGCGCAAGAUUAGAUAGUUGGUGAGGUAACGGCUCACCAAGUCAAUGAUCUUUAGGUGGCCUGAGAGUGUGAUCCCCCAGAAUGGUAAUGCGACACGGACCAGACUGCUACGGGAGGCAGGAGUGAGGAAUAUUGGACAAUGGGUUAGCGUCUGAUCCAGCCAUCCCGCGUGAAGGACGACGGCCCUAUGGGUUGUAAACUUCUUUUGUAUAGGGAUAACACUACACUAGCGAGAGUAGCUGACGGUACUAUACGAAUAAGCACCGGCUAACUCCGUG
rnacentral:rRNA from 1 species